rnacentral:rRNA from 1 species
GAUGAACGCUGGCGGCGUGCCUAAUACAUGCAAGUCGAGCGAACAGACGAGGAGCUUGCUCCUCUGACGUUAGCGGCGGACGGGUGAGUAACACGUGGAUAACCUACCUAUAAGACUGGUAUAACUUCGGGAAACCGGAUCUAAUACCGGAUAAUAUAUUGAACCGCAUGGUUCAAUAGUGAAAUACGGUUUUGCUGUCACUUAUAGAUGGAUCCGCGCCGCAUUAGCUAGUUGGUAAGGUAACGGCUUACCAAGGCAACGAUGCGUAGCCGACCUGAGAGGGUGAUCGGCCACACUGGAACUGAGACACGGUCCAGACUCCUACGGGAGGCAGCAGUAGGGAAUCUUCCGCAAUGGGCGAAAGCCUGACGGAGCAACGCCGCGUGAGUGAUGAAGGUCUUCGGAUCGUAAAACUCUGUUAUUAGGGAAGAACAAAUGUGUAAGUAACUAUGCACGUCUUGACGGUACCUAAUCAGAAAGCCACGGCUAACUACGUG